rnacentral:rRNA from 1 species
UUAAAUUGAAGAGUUUGAUCAUGGCUCAGAUUGAACGCUGGCGGCAGGCCUAACACAUGCAAGUCGAACGGUAACAGGAAGCGCUUGCUGCUUCGCUGACGAGUGGCGGACGGGUGAGUAAUGUCUGGGAAACUGCCUGAUGGAGGGGGAUAACUACUGGAAACGGUAGCUAAUACCGCAUAACGUCGCAAGACCAAAGAGGGGGACCUUCGGGCCUCUUGCCAUCGGAUGUGCCCAGAUGGGAUUAGCUUGUUGGUGGGGUAACGGCUCACCAAGGCGACGAUCCCUAGCUGGUCUGAGAGGAUGACCAGCCACACUGGAACUGAGACACGGUCCAGACUCCUACGGGAGGCAGCAGUGGGGAAUAUUGCACAAUGGGCG